ACGCUCGACACCUACGUGAGGCAGCAGUGGGGAAUAUUGCACAAUGGGGGAAACCCUGAUGCAGCGACGCCGCGUGAAGGAUGAAGUAUUUCGGUAUGUAAACUUCUAUCAGCAGGGAAGAAAGUGACGGUACCUGACUAAGAAGCCCCGGCUAACUACGUGCUAGCAGCCGCGGUAAUCUGAGCGGGCUGGCAAGGC
rnacentral:rRNA from 1 species